rnacentral:rRNA from 1 species
CUGGCUCAGAACGAACGCUGGCGGCAGGCCUAACACAUGCAAGUCGAACGCUGUAGCAAUACAGAGUGGCAGACGGGUGCGGAACACGUGGGAACAUACCCUUUGGUUCGGAAUAACUCAGGGAAACUUGAGCUAAUACCGGAUAAGCCCUUUUGGGGAAAGAUUUAUCGCCGAAGGAUUGGCCCGCGUCCGAUUAGCUAGUUGGUGAGGUAACGGCUCACCAAGGCGACGAUCGGUAGCUGGUCUGAGAGGAUGAUCAGCCACAUUGGGACUGAGACACGGCCCAAACUCCUACGGGAGGCAGCAGUGGGGAAUAUUGGACAAUGGGCGCAAGCCUGAUCCCAGCCAUGCCGCGUGAGGUGAUGACGGCCUUAGGGUUGUAAAGCUCUUUCACCCACGACGAUAAUGACGGUAGUGGGAGAAGAAGCCCCGGCUAACUUCGUGCCAGCCGCUGC